rnacentral:rRNA from 1 species
AGAGUUUGAUCCUGGCUCAGAACGAACGCUGGCGGCGUGGAUUAGGCAUGCAAGUCGAACGAGAAAGCACCCUUCGGGGUGUUAGUAAAGUGGCGAACGGGUGAGUAACGCGUGGGAAACCUGCUUUCGGGUGGGGGAUAACAGCUCUAACGGGCUGCUAAUACCGCAUGAUGCCCUUGACCGCAUGGUCUUGGGUUAAAGGGGGCCUCUAUACUAUGCUUCCGCCUGAAAAUGGUCCCGCGUCCUAUUAGCUUGUUGGUGAGGUAACGGCUCACCAAGGCAACGAUGGGUAGCCGGCUUGAGAGAGUGGUCGGCCACACUGGGACUGAGAUACGGCCCAGACUCCUACGGGAGGCAGCAGUCGAGAAGCUUCGGCAAUGGGGGAAACCCUGACCGAGCGACGUCGCGUGGGUGAUGAGGGUCCUUGGACUGUAAAACCCUGUCAGGUGGGAAGAAACACCAUUCGGCCAAUACCCGAGUGGCUUGACGGUACCACCAGAGGAAGCUCCGCUAACU